rnacentral:tRNA from 1 species
GGGGAUAUGGCGAAAUUGGUAGACGCUACGGACUUAAGGCAACAAUGAAAUUUAUAGUAAGAGGAAAAUCCGUCGACUUUAAAAAUCGUGAGGGUUCAAGUCCCUCUAUCCCCA